CUUGAACCUGGGAGGUGGAGGUUGCACUGAGCCGAGAUCGCACCACUGCACUCCAGCCUGGGCUACAGAGCGAGACCCUGUCUCAAAAAAGUUAAUGGAGUUUUCUAAGAGCCACAUUUUAAAAGGCAUGAGAAAAGAUGAAAUUAAUAGUAUAUUUUAUUUAACCCAAUGUAUUCAAAAUAUUCCAAUAUUCCAUCAAUACAAAAAUUAUAAUGAGGUAUUUUAGUGGGGUUUUUUGGUAUUAAAACCUUCUAAAUUUGGUAUGUAGCUUAGUCUUAGAGCACAUCUCAAUUCAGACUAGCCAUAUUUCAUGUAUUAAGUAGCUACACAGGCCUAGUGGCUACUUUAUCAGAUACCCCAGCCGUAUCUAAUGAAUUGUGUGUGGUCAUGUGCAUAUGUGUAUUUUUAUUCUGUUUUCUUUGAUGAAGAACAUGAAAAAAACUUACUCUUUGAUUUUUCUGUAACUAUGUUAAAAAUAAGAAAUAAAAAUUUGUCACUAAAGCAUAUUUAGAACACUACUGCAGAAGGUGAGGAAAAUAUCAAGGAAACCACAUUUUAUCUCCUAAAAUAGGAGUAUCCUUGACUACUCUAUAGAUAUAUGAAGGAAUCCCAGUUCUAAAUUGUUGGGGAGCACUACCCCUAGGAGGAAAAGCUCUUCACAAAGAGUUGGAAACUCAACUAUUGGAACAAUGUACUGUUGAUACAAGUGCUGCCAAAGAACAGAGCCUUCCCUCAGUGAUGGGUUCAGUUCCGGAAGGUGUCUUAGAGGACAUUAAAGUGCGUACUUGCUUUGUAAGUGAUCUGAAGCGAGGACUAAAAAUCCAAGCAGCAAAAUUUAAUAUUGAUGGGAAUAAUGAGCGUCCCUCCCCACCCCCAAAUGUUGACUAUCCAUUAGAUGGAGAGAAGAUUUUACAUGUCCUUGGAUCAAUCAGAGAUUCAGUUGUGGAAAUUCUUUUUGAACAAGAUAAUGAAGAGCAAUCAGUUGCCACUUUAAUAUUGGAUUCCCUUAUACAGUGUCCGAUAGACACCAGGAAGCAACUAGCAGAGAAUUUGGUAGUCAUAGGUGGCACUUCUAUGUUGCCAGGAUUUCUCCACAGAUUGCUUGCAGAAAUAAGGUAUUUGGUAGAAAAACCAAAAUAUAAAAAAGCACUUGGCACUAAGACAUUUCGAAUUCAUACCCCACCUGCAAAAGCUAAUUGUGUGGCCUGGUUGGGAGGGGCUAUUUUUGGAGCAUUACAAGAUAUACUUGGGAGCCGUUCUGUUUCAAAGGAAUAUUAUAAUCAGACGGGCCGUAUACCUGAUUGGUGUUCUCUCAAUAACCCACCUUUGGAAAUGAUGUUUGAUGUCGGGAAAACUCAACCACCUCUGAUGAAGAGAGCGUUUUCCACUGAGAAAUAGAAGUUUGAUUAAAAAUCAACCUUGCUUCAUAUCAAAUAUUUAACCAAUUAUAAGCAAAUUGUACAAAGUAUGUAGGAUGUUUUGUUAUAGGGGACUAUAGUGGAAGUGAAAGCUUUCUGUGUUUACUCUUUGCAUUAAUAUAUAAUUCUUUUGACUUUGUUUCUCUUGUGUAGUGGUAAAAUG
rnacentral:sRNA from 1 species